rnacentral:rRNA from 1 species
UACGUAGGUGACCAGCGUUGUCCGGAUUUACUGGGCGUAAAGAGCGCGCAGGCGGUCGUUCAAGUCGAGUGUGAAAGCCCCCGGCUCAACUGGGGAGGGUCACUCGAUACUGAUCGACUUGAAGGCAGGAGAGGGAAGCGGAAUUCCCGGUGUAGUGGUGAAAUGCGUAGAUAUCGGGAGGAACACCAGUGGCGAAGGCGGCUUCCUGGCCUGUUCUUGACGCUGAGGCGCGAAAGCUA